UCCGGUUGAUCCUGCCGGAGGUUAUUGCUAUCCGGAUUCGACUAAGCCAUGCAAGUCUUGGUGUUCAAUUCAUUGGACACUAGGGCAGAAAGCUCAGUAACAUGUAGUUAAUAUGCCCUCAAGUCAGGGAUAAUUUCGGGAAACUGAAGCUAAUACCUGAUAGAUAAGAAUUACUGGAAUGUUUUCUUUUCUAAAGCUUUUGCGCUUGAGGAUUGGACUGCACCGGAUUAGGUUGUUGUUAGGGUAACGUCCUGGCAAGCCGAUAAUCCGUACGAGCCUUGAGAGAGGAAGCUCGGAGAUGGAUUCUGAGACAAGAAUCCAGGCCCUACGGGGCGCAGCAGGCGCGAAAAUUUCCCAAUGCACGCAAGUGUGAGGAAGGGAUCUGGAGUGCAUUCUCUUAUAUAGGGGAUGCUUUUGUGGAGUGUAAACAGCUCCAAGAAUAAGUGGUGGGUAAGACGGGUGCCAGCCGCCGCGGUAAUACCCGCGCCACGAGUGAUAACCACGAUUAUUGGGCUUAAAGCGUUCGUAGCCGGUCCAAAAAGUCUUUAGUGAAAUCCCGUAGCUAACUGCGGGGCUUGCUAGAGAAACUGUUGGACUUGGGACCGGGAGAGGUCUGGGGUACUCAAGGGGUAGGGGUAAAAUCCUGUAAUCCUUUGGGGACCACCUGUGGCGAAGGCGCCAGACCAGAACGGAUCCGACGGUGAGGGACGAAAGCUAGGGGAGCAAAGGGGAUUAGAUACCCCCGUAGUCCUAGCUGUAAACGAUGCCCACUAGACAUUGGCAAUCUUACGUGGGUUGUCAGUGCCGUAGCGAAAGCGUUAAGUGGGCCGCCUGGGGAGUACGGUCGCAAGGCUGAAACUUAAGGGAAUUGGCGGGGGAGCACACAAGGGGUGGAGGCUGCGGUUUAAUUGGAUUCAACGCCGGGAACCUUACCAGAGGCGACAGCAGAGUGAAGGUCCGCUUGAAGAGCGUACCAGACAAGCUGAGAAGUGGUGCAUGGCCGUCGUCAGUUCGUGUCGUGAGAUGUCCUGUUAAGUCAGGUAACGAACAAGACCCGCGCUUCAUGUUGCUAUCGUAUAUUUCGGUAUGCGAGCACUCAUGAGGGACCGCUGUCGAUAAGGCAGAGGAAGGUGCGGUCGACGGCAGGUCAGUAUGCUCUGAAUCCUCUGGGUUACACGCGGCCUACAAUGACCGGGACAAUGAGAUGCGACACCGAAAGGUGAAGCCAAUCUCGAAACCCGGCCUCAGUUCAGAUCGAGGGCUGCAACUCGCCCUCGUGAAGCCGAAAUCCCUAGUAGUCGCUGGUUAGCAUCUAGCGGCGAAUACGUUCCUGCUCCUUGCACACACUGCCCGUCAAGCCAUCUGAGUGGAUCUUUGAUGAGGCUUUCUCAAUUUGUGAGAGUCGAGUCAGAGUUCUGCAAGGAGGGCUAAGUCGUAACAAGGUA
rnacentral:rRNA from 1 species